rnacentral:pre_miRNA from 1 species
UAUUAGGUUGGUGCAAAAGUAAUUGCGGUUGUUGCCAUUAUGUUUGUUGGCAACAACCGCAAUUACUUUUGCACCAACAUAAUA